UACAGAGGGGGGCAAGCGUUUGUCCGGAAUUAUUGGGCGUAAAGAGCUCGUAGGCGGCUUGUCGCGUCGACUGUGAAAUCCCGCGGCUCAACUGCGGGUCUGCAGUCGAUACGGGCAGGCUAGAGUUCGGUAGGGGAGACUGGAAUUCCUGGUGUAGCGGUGAAAUGCGCAGAUAUCAGGAGGAACACCGGUGGCGAAGGCGGGUCUCUGGGCCGAUACUGACGCUGAGGAGCGAAAGCGUGGGGAGCGAACAGG
rnacentral:rRNA from 1 species